rnacentral:rRNA from 1 species
GUGCCAGCCGCCGCGGUAAUACCGGCAGCUCGAGUGAUGACCGAUUUUAUUGGGCCUAAAGCGUCCGUAGCUGGCCGCGCAAGUCCGUCGGGAAAUCCACCCGCUUAACGGGUGGGCGUCCGGCGGAAACUGUGCGGCUUGGGACAGGAAGGCUCGAGGGGUACGUUCGGGGUAGGAGUGAAAUCCCGUAAUCCUGAACGGACCACCGAUGGCGAAAGCACCUCGAGAGGACUGAUCCGACAGUGAGGGACGAAAGCUGGGGUCUCGAGCCGGAUUAGAUACCCCUGUAGUCC